UGAGAUUUACCGAGGACGCCCACGGCCAAUCCAGCGAUAACAUCAGCUUCCUUCUAUUAUGAUGAGAGACAAACUCUCGAAACCAAGUGACAAAGGCUUAGCAACCCGACAAGUAAAGGCCAAAAACUAAACUUUAUAUAACACAUCCAUAUGUGGCAUGGACGAUUGUGCGUUAAGGAACGCCUAGAUAAAAACCUUAUAGAAGCGUUCCAACUUGAUGAACAUCCACAGACACUCGACCAAAAAGGUUACCAACCACAACGACCUCCACCUCCACCAAAGAGAAAACAACCUGAAAACUUAGUAUUAUCUUUACACAAAGAAGCCUCUGCUUAGUAGGGAGACGAUCCAAAUGGGAAAAAAAUCGAUAAAGCAAGCCAAAAGUAGUGAGCAAAGAGACGAAAGUUGGAUGGAGGCUAACAAGAGACCACACUCCAGCUAUGUCGGCGGAAUUGUAACAACGAAGAGCACAGAAACGACAACCAAAUUUGGGUCAAAGACAACAAAGAUAAUGACUUUAUUAUAAGCAUAUCGUAGAUCUAUUAGAUCCGACACCAACCUCUUCACAUAAUUCAUAACCAAACAUAUAUGAUAUGUUUUACCACUUCCUAAGAUAACACAGCUUCAAACCCAUAUUAAACGAGCGAGAAUCCCCAACUGAAUGCCAAAAAAUCAUAAAUCUAACGAAUUGAAAACAAUACAUUAAAGCAGGAAAAAAACGGGAAGCCAGAUGAGAAUCGCCGAUCAUCGAAUUCGUUUCUUC
rnacentral:lncRNA from 1 species